GACGAACCGUGCGAACGUUAUUCGGAAUCAUUGGGCUUAAAGUGCGCGUAGGCGGCGGUGUAAGUUGGAAGUGAAAUCCCAUCGGCUCAACCGUGGAAUUGCUCCCAGUACUGCAUCGCUCGAGGGGGAUAGGGGUUUGCGGAACUACCGGUGGAGCGGUGAAAUGUGUUGAUAUCGGUGGGAACGCCAGUGGCGAAAGCGGCAAACUUGACCCUUCCUGACGCUGAGGCGCGAAAGCUAGGGGAGCAAACGGG
rnacentral:rRNA from 1 species